CGGGGGCAGAGUGACAGGUGGUGCAUGGUUGUCGUCAGCUCGUGUCGUGAGAUGUUGGGUUAAGUCCCGCAACGAGCGCAACCCUUGAUCUUAGUUGCCAGCAUUCAGUUGGGCACUCUAAGGUGACUGCCGGUGACAAACCGGAGGAAGGUGGGGAUGACGUCAAAUCAUCAUGCCCCUUAUGACCUGGGCUACACACGUGCUACAAUGGACAGAACAAAGGGCAGCGAAACCGCGAGGUUAAGCCAAUCCCACAAAUCUGUUC
rnacentral:rRNA from 1 species